UGCGCAGGCGGAAUGGUAAGUCAGUGGUGAAAUCCUACAGCUUAACUGUAGAACUGCCAUCGAUACUGUCAUUCUUGAGUACAUAUGAAGUGGGCGGAAUGUGUCAUGUAGCGGUGAAAUGCAUAGAUAUGACACAGAACACCGAUAGCGAAGGCAGCUCACUAAAUUGUAACUGACGCUCAUGCACGAAAGCGUGGGGAGCAAACAGGAUUAGAUACCCUGGUAGUCC
rnacentral:rRNA from 1 species